rnacentral:rRNA from 1 species
UGAAAGUGAACUUCACUGAUUGGCUUUGACGAGUAGUAGAUUCCUCGAGUGGUGUUUCCCUUUGUCGUCGGCUUGGGCGAUUUUGGGGAGGACUUGCUUGGGGUUUUGAAGGCCGUCUGUAAUUGCCUGUUGGGUUGAUCCCUGCAUCUGAUCGUUGGGGCGCAAACCCCGGACUUGCAAAUUGUAUGCAAUAACUUGUUAUUCGGCUUUUUCCUUGAUUGAGGUUGCUGGUAGUGUUUUUGUGGGCAAGUACCGUGAGUGUACAUGCUAGGACCCGAAAGAUGGUGAACUAUGCCUGGCCAGGGUGAAGCCAGAGGAAACUCUGGUGGAGGCUCGAAGCGAUUUUGACGUGCAAAUCG